ensembl:ncRNA ZK1193.6 ncRNA
ACGAUCAUGUACUACUAGUUCGAGAAAAGCCUCGGGUCGUUGUGGUAUGGCAUCGUCUUAGUCUUCGUCGUUGAGGGAGGAAAAAAGAAGAAUCGAACAAAGACAAUCCACUUGUUCAAGAUUUUCUCUCUC